AUACUCCAGAACAAAAGAACAUAACAUUAGGGAAAAUACUGUUGUCUCAGUAUAUUCAACCCAGGUUAUGAUGACAAUUUCACAGAAAGUCUCCGACAUAAGUAAAAUCACAAGCAUGCUUGUGGCUCCGAGAAUGCGCUGCAGUGGAGCAAAUGCUAUUCCAGUGGCCUCUGCAAUGGCUAACGAGGGCCUGCACAGUAAUGAGCACCAAAUCAAAGUCCCGGACCUUAGACAGACUAGGUCCUUCACUUGGAUAAGGGAACAGUGACAACCCUCCCUACAAGGCUCAGGGGACUUGUUCUGUAAGCCUGGAGGGCAUUUCGGCUGCUGUCACUGCAUCUUCUGUUUCUGGGGACUUUGUCAACAGAAUCGUGGCACCUCUUUCCGUCUUUUUAAUGAACACUCCAACUGGACUAGAUAACAUGUGACCAGCCAGCUUCCUGCUCCUGCUGCCAUGCUAUGCCUUCCCCUCCAUGGUGAAUCCUCCUGGAAUUAGAAGCGGGAAAAUAAACCCUUUCUUCCUUACAUUGCUUUUGGCCAUAAUAUGUUAGUUACCAGAGCAGAGCAACAAAAAGAAACCUGAAACAGUCACUCACUUGUUUUGGUCCCUUAGCAUUAGAAGGAACCAAGAUAUAUGGCUAAAAGUGAACAAGAUGAUGGCAAGUUUCCAGAGAAGAGCCCUGAGAUGUUACUCACCGGUAUGGGAGUCUCUCGUAAUACGACUUCUCCAAAGCAGCAAAAUGAUACCUUGGUUUCAAACUUGCGGCAAGACUGGAGAUCAAGGCUGAGCCACAUUUUUUGGUAUCCACUUCUCCCUAGUAAAUGGGAACUUGGUUAUCCACAGACUCAGAAAUUAUGAAGAAAUGCAAAGAAACAAGAAAGUGUUUCGAAAUAUCUUUCAAAUAGGACUUGUAGUGAACUGCAAGAUUGUAGGGCAAUCAAACACAUAAAAGUAUUGGACUAUUACAAUUAGAGGAACAGCACAAUUGUUGGAAACGAGCAGGUACAAGAUAAGACAACGCCUCCAUAAUAACCUCUAAAGCACACAUGAAGAGCUCUUUUGAAGACAGGGCUCUUCCUACAACUUAUAAAUUAUGUCUCCAUAAAUAGCUUCACAGUGCACCUAUGUAUCUGACAGAGGCAUGGUCAGUGCAGAAAAGGAACCUAAAUAUUAACAUUCAGAGCUGCGGGCAUCCAGCAAACAUCCAAGGGACUCAUAAGCACACAAGCCUUUCUUUCGUUUCAGCCAAGGAAGUGGUACAACCACACCUUUGUUAAAAAUCUUCAACCCCAACACUAAGGAGGCAGAGGUAGGCAGAUCUCUGAGAGUUCAAGGCUAGCUUGGUCUACAGAGCAAGUUCCAGGACAAUCAUAGCUGUUACACAGAGAAACCCUGUCUGAAAAAAACAAACCAACCAAACAAACAAAAAGACUAACAAAAAAACCUAUAUGCAUAUUUAUAAACUUUGACUAAAGUUUCCAUCCCUGCCGCCCCGAGCUGACUUUUAGCUGUCGCCAGAAUAAGGGGCUUCCUUUCUAGAAGUGGAGUAACCAUGGGAUGGCAGAUGGAGACGUCGGUUGCUCUUCCUCUGACAUCCUCCUGAGUGUGCCUGGCAUCUUGCUGACUUUUAUGGUCAUGGACACUUAGUGCUGAGUCAGCAAGGACUGAUCCACACGGUACAUUCUGGAACAUCACUUGCAGUUCUGAGUCUAUUGGGAGGGCUCAUUCUCCAAUUCAGUCUUAUCUUUCCCCCCACUGAGGCUCAGCUGAGGCUUCUGACCUUACACAACCUUUUCAGGGUCUUCCUUAGGCCAUGUCUAUCUGUCAUAGUUUACUUGUAGGGCCCCUUCUCAAGACUAUUUAUGAAUGCUUAGAUGCAUGUCAUGUUAGUGCCGCUAACAGACAAUUAGUAUUCAGCAGCCUUUCUCACCUGUAGAUACUUCCAUUACUAGAUUCAACCUUACAAUGGCCCAAUUUUAAGAUAUAUUUUGAUGGCCCCCCAAAAAAAAAUAAAAAAAAAAAAUGGAGAGAUG